GCGGACGUGGCGGAAUCGGCAGACGCGCUAGAUUCAGGAUCUAGUGGUCAUUGCGACCGUGGAGGUUCAAGUCCUCUCGUCCGCACCA
rnacentral:tRNA from 1 species